GUGGGGAAUCUUAGACAAUGGGCGCAAGCCUGAUCUAGCCAUGCCGCGUGAGCGAUGAAGGCCUUAGGGUUGUAAAGCUCUUUCGUGGGGGAAGAUAAUGACUGUACCCCAAGAAGAAGCCCCGGCUAACUCCGUGCCAGCAGCCGCGGUAAUACGGAGGGGGCUAGCGUUGUUCGGAAUUACUGGGCGUAAAGCGCACGUAGGCGGACUGGAAAGUCAGGGGUGAAAUCCCGGGGCUCAACCCCGGAACUGCCGUUGAAACACCCAGUCUUGAGUUCGAGAGAGGUGAGUGGAAUUCCGAGUGUAGAGGUGAAAUUCGUAGAUAUUCGGAGGAACACCAGUGGCGAAGGCGGCUCACUGGCUCGAUACUGACGCUGAGGUGCGAAAGCGUGGGGAGCAAACAGGAUUAGAAACCCGAGUAGUCC
rnacentral:rRNA from 1 species